AUCGCUUCUCGGCCUUUUGGCUAAGAUCAAAGUGUAGUAUCUGUUCUUAUCAGCUUAAUAUCUGAUACGUCCCCCAAUGGGGGACUUCGAUAUUAAACUGAUUUUUGGACUCAGGCGAAGUGUUAGGGGCUUGCUCCAACUUUGCCACGGGUUAGCCUGGUAUUGCAGUAUCUCCAGGAUUGGCCCACUCCCC